rnacentral:SRP_RNA from 1 species
GCCAGGCGUGGUGGCGCAUGCCUGUAAUCCCAGCUACUGGGGAGGCUGAGGCAGGAGAAUCACUUGAACCCAGGAGGCGGAGAUUGCAGUGAGCCGAGAUCACGCCACUGCACUCCAGCCUGGGAGACAGAAUGAGACUCUGUCUCAA